rnacentral:snRNA from 1 species
AUCAUUUCCCAGCCUUUUGGCUAAGAUCAAGUGCAGCAUCUGUUCUUAUCAGUUCCUUAUCAGGCCCAGAAAAUAGUAAAAGCUAGGUAAAGACAGCCCUUUAGUAUUUAUAUGAUUCAUUUUAUCAGUUCUUAGGUUUUCUUCAAGAGCACUGCGCAGGCAAUGCUAUCUCACUGCUAUGUUGCAAAGGAG